GAUGAAGAACGUAGCGAAAUGCGAUAAGUAGUGUGAAUUGCAGAAUUCAGUGAAUCAUCGAAUCUUUGAACGCACAUUGCGUCCUUUGGUAUUCCAAAGGGCAUGCCUGUUCGAGCGUCAUUUGUACCCUCAAGCUUUGCUUGGUGUUGGGCGUCUUGUCUCUAGCUUUGCUGGAGACUCGCCUUAAAGUAAUUGGCAGCCGGCCUACUGGUUUCGGAGCGCAGCACAAGUCGCACUCUCUAUCAGCAAAGGUCUAGCAUCCACUAAGCCUUUUUUUCAACUUUUGACCUCGGAUCAGGUAGGGAUACCCGCUGAACUUAAGCAUAUCAAUAAGCGGAGGA
rnacentral:misc_RNA from 1 species